AAAAAUAGUGGACUAAAGAAAAAAAGUUUCCAAGUCGAGAAGUCUCCGAAAGAAAAAAAAACCUAAACCACCGUUUUUCCUCCGGCGUGGCCGUGCCUUCUCCGACGCCGGAGGGCCUCCCUCUUUCUUAAUCUCUCCUUCCUCUCGCCGCUCCUCUCCAUCCUCCCCAUCGGUUCCUUUCUUGGAGUUCUAGGGUUUUGCGUACCCGCGGCUCAGAUCUGGCGCUUUGACUUCGGAUCUCCGGAGAAUCGAGACGGAGAAGUGGAUGUGUGGUUUCUCUCUGGCAAAUCGUCGUGGUGGUGGUCUAGAUCUGGGUCAGAUCUGGAUUUCGGAGGCGGGGUCUCUCUCUUCCUCUGCCUCUUCGGUUUGCUUUCUCGGCUCGGGUGAGUCGACUCGCUAGGUUGAAGACGUUGCUGUGUCUCCGGGGUAGCUGAGUUGCGGUGUUUCUUAUGCUACUUCGGAGGUCGUCUGUGUCGUUCUCGUUAAGCCGGUCAGUACGACUCUCGGGGGCUCGUCGGAGUUGCCACCGGUUCCAAGCCAUGUUGGUCUGUUGCGGGUUCUCCGCAGCGGGAGCGCGUGCGAGGAGGUAGUCGCUGGAGUUGUCAACCACGGGUUCUCUUUUCGGUGGCGGCGCGUGCGGAUUUGCAAGUUUCAGGGGGUUGAUCUUGGGCUUCCUCUUGACCGUUUUGACUUAAGACGGGGCUUGCUUUCUCUGUCAUUUGGUGUAGGUUCGGUGGUGUGUGGCGGCUUUGGUGGCUCCUUUCCAAAUAAAGCUCGUCUUUGUCUGAGUGGGUGUCUUGGUCUCGGGCGAAGGUGUCGAUCCGUGAAGGCUGCAAGCCAAGAUGUCUUCGUAAGCUGUUCUUGAAGAGCCUAUUAUAAAGAACUGAUCAUCGAGUAUCCCAAACUCUACCGGAUUCAGUUCUCGGAUUCACUGCAGGCUUCAUUUUGCGGCAAGCGUUGUUCAAAUUGUCAAGUAUCUUUUGCCUUAGAUUCCUAGCUUCUAGUCAGUCCCAACCAGUUUAGAUGGAGUAUGUGUUUAGAUUUAUUUAUGUUCUCUGUUUCUUUGUUACCUCUGUCAUUCUGUAAAAAAUCUGAAAAUGGUAAUGGAAUUUUAACAUUGUUACCAAAAAAAAAAAAAAAAA
rnacentral:lncRNA from 1 species